rnacentral:tRNA from 1 species
CGGGACGUGGCGCAGUUUGGCAGCGCACCAGUCUGGGGGACUGGGGGUCGCCGGUUCAAAUCCGGCCGUCCCGA